rnacentral:rRNA from 1 species
AAGUGCCUCGAAAGAGAACCGUAACACAGGGUGCUGCAUGGCUGCUCGUCAGCUCGUGUCGUGAGAUGUUGGGUUAAGUCCCGCAACGAGCGCAACCCUUGCCAUUAGUUGCUACAUUCAGUUGGGCACUCUAAUGGGACUGCCGGUGACAAACCGGAGGAAGGUGGGGAUGACGUCAAGUCCUCAUGGCCCUUAUGGGUAGGGCUUCACACGUAAUACAAUGGUAGGUACAGAGGGUAGCCAACCCGCGAGGGGGAGCCAAUCCCAGAAAGCCUAUCGUAGUCCGGAUUGUAGUCU